ACCUUGAAAAACAGAAAAAAUUUCUGCAUCCUUUUGGUCGAAAAUUGCUGGGACUUGUUCUUUGGUUUCAUUGUUGUCAAUAGUUUAAGAGUUUCAGGAUUUCUGAGCUAUUUGGGUACUCUCAUGAAUCCCUGAACAAAAAUGAAGCAUGAAUUGCUGCCUUGAAGUUGAAACCACAAGAUUUAUUUUAGUUUGAUGUAUGCUUGUUUUCUCUCUUAUGUUUAUAGUUCUUUGUAAUUUGUUAAGUUGUUUAAAAAUGAUGUCUAGUGCUCAGUUCAGUCAUACUGUUAUGGAGCUGUUUGAUUGCUUCACAUGGGUUUGGACACGUUUUACCAUAUUCAGGGCUUGUAAUAUUUGGGGACUUUGUUUUUUAGAAUUGGUAAAUUAAAUGUUAUUUGUAUAGGUUUUAGCUGAA